AUUUUAAGCAGUUCAAUUAAUGCAUUUCUCCAUUUUCUGUUCAAACUAUGAAUGAACAAACAUUUCCAUGAAGAACAGAAGUGAAUUUUUAUGCUGAGAGCUUUCCUCUCCUAACCCUGCUCUAUGGCCUCAUAAAAAUCUCACCAUAUAACACAUACAAAUUCAAUGAGAUUCAUGUAUUUAAUAUUAAGCCCACACUUAAUAUUUUUAAUGGAUAUAGCUUAGUCCUCACCUCCUUGCCAGCUGGAGCUCCUGAAGGUUGGGCCUUUUGGCUGCUCCAUGUCACAGUGCAAGGGCACUUAGGGACAGCAGAAUGUCAUCACAAUCACAUGAGCACAGACUACAUGUGCUCUCUGAGGAGGAAGACACAUUGGGCUUGGCACAGCUGCACAUCAGCUAAUCCAGCAUAUGAACCUGCUUCAGAGAACUUCAAAGGGUCUCGAGGUCCCCUUCAUGCAGACCAUGAUGUAAAAACUACACCGGUAAAAUUCCCAAUUCCCAACAAGACAAAAAGCAGCAAGAAAAUCUCCAACAGCAGCUCUUCAGCUCCAGUGGCAGCUGUCAUUGCAGGUCAUAGCAGUGUCUGGUGGGAGAUAAUAUCCAAGAGCUCAAGCAAGUCUCAGGAGUACCGAUAUCACAGUUCUGCUGAUUUUGUUACUGAUUUGCUGCUUGACCUUAGAUAUGGAAGCUGGUUUGGGAUCUGGCGGCUGGCACAGUGCUCAUAGUAAGUCUGGCACAGAAAAUAGCACUAAGAUCAUUACAGCAAGUAAUCUCUCCGUUGAAACUAGACAUUGGAGUUUUUUGGACAAAUACCACAAGCCAAGUAAGAAGCAAGGAGGACUUGGCCACAGA
rnacentral:lncRNA from 1 species